rnacentral:rRNA from 1 species
GGCGAACGCUGGCGGCAGGCUUAACACAUGCAAGUCGAGCGGGCCCUUCGGGGUCAGCGGCGGACGGGUGAGUAACGCGUGGGAACGUGCCUUCUGGUUCGGAAUAACUCAGGGAAACUUGAGCUAAUACCGGAUACGCCCUUUUGGGGAAAGGUUUACUGCCGGAAGAUCGGCCCGCGUCUGAUUAGCUAGUUGGUGGGGUAACGGCCUACCAAGGCGACGAUCAGUAGCUGGUCUGAGAGGAUGAUCAGCCACACUGGGACUGAGACACGGCCCAGACUCCUACGGGAGGCAGCAGUGGGGAAUAGUGGACAAUGGGCGCAAGCCUGAUCCAGCCAUGCCGCGUGAGUGAUGAAGGCCUUAGGGUUGUAAAGCUCUUUUAUCCGGGACGAUAAUGACGGUACCGGAGGAAUAAGCCCCGGCUAACUUCGUG